CAGAGUUCCCACGGAAAAGGAGAGGACAGGGUAAGGAAUCCGGACGCGGACGUUGCCUUGUAAGGGCUCUCUCGUUGUCGCGGCGAUCGAAUUGACACGCAUUAAUCAUCCAAAAUAACGAACCGAGCUUUCGCUCGGCCACGGUUUGCCUUACGCGUCGACGAUUUAUCAUCGGCCCGCGAUGACGGGCCGUCCGGUUCGACAACGUAAUUCACGCCAGAUUUUUCCUCCCACUUCGGCACACAGUGCUCGAUUGAUAGAAAUAAACUGUCGUUUCGCAAACAUCGCCGGCGACUGCACAAUUAAGCUGUUAUUGCGCGCCAGGGGUCCGUGGUUCGCGGCUUGUUUGUAAUCAAGUGUCGUCAGUGGUGAGACGAGAUAACAGCGUGCGCGUCCGUCGACGACAUCGUUCGGUCUGUUUCUCGAACGUUCCCAAAGCCGUGUGUCUCUGUUUUCAAGAGAACCGGCCGACGACCAGGAAAGGCGGAGUUCGGCGGUCAUGGAUUUUCCCAUAUUCCGAACAACGUCCUCCCGAAGAGAUGCUCGUGAAGGGCUUCAGUUCAGACGAAAUCGACACAUUGACUAUUAAAAAUCCUAAAACCUGGUUGUCAUAUUAAAAAACUCGAUUUUCACGAAACAACUUUCACAAUAAUAGAAGCAAAUUG